GGGCGAGUGGUGAAAUUGGCAGACACGCUAGACUUAGGAUCUAGUGCCGUAAGGCGUAGGGGUUCAAGUCCCCUCUCGCCCA
rnacentral:tRNA from 1 species